CGGCAAACUCCGUGCCAGCAGCCGCGGUAAUACGGAGGGGGCAAGCGUUGUUCGGAAUUAUUGGGCGUAAAGGGCAUGUAGGCGGUUCGGUAAGUUAAAGGUGAAAUGCCAGGGCUUAACCCUGGAGCUGCUUUUAAUACUGCCAGACUAGAGUCCGGGAGAGGAUAGCGGAAUUCCUAGUGUAGAGGUGAAAUUCGUAGAUAUUAGGAGGAACACCAGUGGCGAAGGCGGCUAUCUGGUCCGGUACUGACGCUGAGGUGCGAAAGCGUGGGGAGCAAACAGGAUUAGGUACCCUGGUAGUCCAC
rnacentral:rRNA from 1 species